UACGGAGGGUGCUAGCGUUGUUCGGAAUUACUGGGCGUAAAGGGCGCGUCGGCGGCCGUUUGCGUCGGAUGUGAAAGCCCGGGGCUCAACCUCGGAACGGCAUUCGAUACGGGACGGCUGGAGACCGGGAGAGGAGAGUGGAAUAGCCAGUGUAGAGGUGAAAUUCGUAGAUAUUGGCUGGAACACCGGUGGCGAAAGCGGCUCUCUGGCCCGGUUCUGACGCUGAGGCGCGAAAGCGUGGGGAGCAAACAGG
rnacentral:rRNA from 1 species